UGGGCCCUCAUGAUGGGGACUGGUGGCUAGAAGAAGAGGAAGAAAGGCCAGACCUAAAGUGCACACCAGCUCUCAUCAUGUGACGUCUUCUGCCGUGUUAUGAUGCGGCAAAAAGUUCCUCACCAGAUGCUGGUGCCACGUUUUUGCACUUCCCAGCCUCCAGAACUGGUUUCCCGAUAAUGCCUGGUACCAUUUUGGGUGCCCAGAAUGUCUUUGCCAACGGCCUGGGGAAGUUCGUGGCCUCCAGAGCAGAGGAUGAGUGCAGGUUCCCUGGUGAGCCCUUGAGGAUGUUCAAACCUCAGGGAGUCAAAAUCAAUAGUUCUCGGUCAGAGACGAUCUUGCCUCCAGGGGACAUUUUGCGAUGCCCCGAGACGGUUUUGGUUGUCUUGCAUAACUGGUGAGGUGCUGCUGGCAUCGAGAGAGUGGAGGCCACGGGUGCUGCUAAACAUGCCUCAAUGCACAGGACAGCCCCCUCCUGCCGCCAAGAAUCAUUUGGCCCAAAAUGUCAGCUGUGCCGAGGCUGAGAAGCCCUGGUCAAAGGAAUCCAUCAAUUAACCUACCACCUCUCAGCAUCUCACCUGCUCUCCGACUAUGGUGAUAAAGAAGACGGCUGGCACGGUGGCUCAUGCCUGUAAUCCCAGCACUUUGGGAGGCCGAGGCAGAUGGGUCACGAGGUCAAGAGAUUGAGACCAUCCUGGCCAACAUGGUGAAACCCCAUCUCUAGUAAAAAUACAAAAAUUAGCUGGGUGUGGUGGCGCGUACCUGUAGUCCCAGCUACUCGGCAGGCUGAGACAGGAGAAUCGCUUGAACCCGGGAGGCGGGGGUUGCAGUGAGUUGAGAUCAUGCCAGUGCACUCCAGCCUAGCAACAGAGGGAGACUCCGUCUCAAAAAAAAAAAAAAAAGAAGAAGAAGAAGACAAGAACAAGAGCCAUCUCCCUUGAAACUGACUGUGGGGCUCCUCGGACUCCGAUCCUGUUUGUGUGCAUAUAUGUGUGCAAACACACUUGCACACACUCGCG
rnacentral:lncRNA from 10 species